rnacentral:misc_RNA from 1 species
GUGAAUCAUCGAAUUUUUGAACGCAAAUUGCACUCUCUGGUAACCCGGGGAGUAUGCCUGUUUGAGGGUCAGCCUAUAAAAAAUCGACAUCUUUGCUGUUUCGCGGUGGCGUUCGUCGUUAAUUGGGUUAUCUUAAAUCCUUUUGGGUUUUAAUCGACGUAAACUUUUCUUUUUGGUUCCAUGAACGUUUCUAAGAUUUAUUUCUUUACACGUUUAAGGUAUCGAUUUUUAUUAGACGU